rnacentral:rRNA from 1 species
GUGGGGAAUAUUGGACAAUGGGGGGAACCCUGAUCCAGCCAUGCCGCGUGUGUGAAGAAGGCCUUUUGGUUGUAAAGCACUUUAAGCGAGGAGGAGGCUACCGAGAUUAAUACUCUUGGAUAGUGGACGUUACUCGCAGAAUAAGCACCGGCUAACUCUGUGCCAGCAGCCGCGGUAAUACAGAGGGUGCAAGCGUUAAUCGGAUUUACUGGGCGUAAAGCGCGCGUAGGUGGACAAUUAAGUCAAAUGUGAAAUCCCCGAGCUUAUCUUGGGAAUUGCAUUCGAUACUGGUUGGCUAGAGUAUGGGAGAGGAUGGUAGAAUUCCAGGUGUAGCGGUGAAAUGCGUAGAGAUCUGGAGGAAUACCGAUGGCGAAGGCAGCCAUCUGGCCUAAUACUGACACUGAGGUGCGAAAGCAUGGGGAGCAAACAGGAUUAGAAACCCUAGUAGUCC